UACAGAGGGUGCAAGCGUUGUUCGGAAUUACUGGGCGUAAAGCGCGCGUAGGUGGUUCGUUAAGUUGGAUGUGAAAGCCCCGGGCUCAACCUGGGAACUGCAUCCAAAACUGGCGAGCUAGAGUACGGUAGAGGGUGGUGGAAUUUCCUGUGUAGCGGUGAAAUGCGUAGAUAUAGGAAGGAACACCAGUGGCGAAGGCGACCACCUGGACUGAUACUGACACUGAGGUGCGAAAGCGUGGGGAGCAAACAGG
rnacentral:rRNA from 1 species